UACGAAGGGGGCUAGCGUUGUUCGGAUUUACUGGGCGUAAAGCGCGCGUAGGCGGACUUUUAAGUCAGGGGUGAAAUCCCAGAGCUCAACUCUGGAACUGCCUUUGAUACUGGAAGUCUUGAGUAUGGAAGAGGUUGGUGGAACUGCGAGUGUAGAGGUGAAAUUCGUAGAUAUUCGCAAGAACACCAGUGGCGAAGGCGGCCAACUGGUCCAUUACUGACGCUGAGGUGCGAAAGCGUGGGGAGCAAACAGG
rnacentral:rRNA from 1 species